UGACACUCAAACAGGCAUGCUCCUCGGAAUACCAAGGAGCGCAAGGUGCGUUCAAAGAUUCGAUGAUUCACUGAAUUCUGCAAUUCACAUUACUUAUCGCAUUUCGCUGCGUUCUUCAUCGAUGCGAGAGCCAAGAGAUCCGUUGCUGAAAGUUGUAUA
rnacentral:rRNA from 1 species